rnacentral:rRNA from 1 species
AUUGAACGCUGGCGGCAUGCUUUACACAUGCAAGUCGAACGGUAACAGGCCUUCGGGUGCUGACGAGUGGCGAACGGGUGAGUAAUGCAUCGGAACGUACCCAGAGGUGGGGGAUAACGCAGCGAAAGCUGUGCUAAUACCGCAUGUGAUCUGAGGAUGAAAGCGGGGGACCGAGCAGCAAUGUUUGGCCUCGCGCCUUUGGAGCGGCCGAUGUCGGAUUAGCUAGUUGGUGGGGUAAAGGCCUACCAAGGCGACGAUCCGUAGCUGGUCUGAGAGGACGACCAGCCACACUGGGACUGAGACACGGCCCAGACUCCUACGGGAGGCAGCAGUGGGGAAUUUUGGACAAUGGGCGAAAGCCUGAUCCAGCAAUGCCGCGUGCGGGAAGAAGGCCUUCGGGUUGUAAACCGCUUUUGGCAGGAACGAAACGCUGUCCGCUAAUAACGAGCGGUAAUGACGGUACCUGAAGAAUAAGCACCGGCUAACUACGUG